UUCAGCAAUGACGCGUGCAAUUGCAUAAGAAAACGGAAUAAUGAAGCGAGAAUUCGCCGAAAUUUCGGACGACGAAUGGGAAAACCAUUCCUUCAAGCCGUCUCGAGUCCUCAAAAUAAAAACUCAGGCAUCAAAACCUCCUCCUUCAAUCGAAUCAUUCGCUUUUAAAGCCGAUAGUCACCGCCAAAAUUUAGACGAAAAUCUCGAGGAUGACGAUGUAGAGGAGGAGGGGCCACCGUCCGCCGCGAACAAUCGUGGCCGUCGAUUCAUUGUAGACGACGAUGAUGAGGAACAGCGGAGCGAGGGAGAUUUUGCUGAAGUAUAUGAAGUAAAGUCUUCGACUGAAGAAGAAGAAGUAUUAGAAGAUGAUGGACAGGAGGAUGAUGUGGUUGGAAACGCUUUGGCAAAAUGCGCUAAAAUAUCGGCGGAGCUUAAAAGAGAGUUAUAUGGUACUUCUGGUACCGCUUGUGAUCGCUACUCGGAAGUUGAAGCUUCCUCGGUUAGGAUUGUGACUCAGAAUGAUAUUGAUGAAGCAUGUGGGGAUGAGGAUGAGGAUUUCCAGCCAGUUCUUAAGCCCUAUCAGCUGGUUGGUGUCAAUUUUCUUCUCUUGUUGUAUCGAAAGGGCAUUGGGGGAGCCAUAUUGGCAGAUGAGAUGGGUCUUGGGAAGACCAUUCAGGCUGUGACAUAUUUGAUGCUUCUAAAGCACUUGAAUAAUGACCCUGGACCCCACUUAAUUGUAUGUCCUGCCUCUGUUUUGGAAAAUUGGGAGAGAGAACUAAAGAAAUGGUGUCCAUCAUUUUCUAUACUCCAGUAUCAUGGGGCUGCACGAACAGCCUAUUCAAAAGAGUUGAGCUCUUUGGCCAAAGCUGGAUUGCCUCCUCCGUUUAAUGUGCUUCUUGUGUGCUAUUCUCUUUUUGAACGUCACAGUGUGCAGCAGAAAGAUGACCGUAAAUUUCUGAAACGUUGGCAUUGGAGCUGUGUGUUGAUGGAUGAGGCUCAUGCUUUGAAGGAUAAAAACAGCUAUAGGUGGAAGAAUCUAAUGUCUGUUGCUCGAAAUGCAAACCAGCGACUAAUGCUGACAGGGACGCCACUACAAAAUGAUUUACAUGAGCUCUGGUCAUUGUUGGAGUUCAUGAUGCCCGAUCUUUUUGCUACUGAGGAUGUAGAUUUGAAGAAACUACUAAACGCAGAAGAUAGAGACUUAAUAGGUCGAAUGAAGUCCAUUUUAGGACCAUUCAUCUUGAGGCGUUUAAAAUCUGAUGUAAUGCAACAACUUGUCCCAAAGAUACAGCAGGUUGAGUAUGUUAUAAUGGAAAAACAGCAGGAUGAUGCUUAUAGAGAAGCCAUAGAGGAGUAUCGGGCUGCGUCACGAGCUCGUAUUGCUAAGCUUUAUGAGCCUAAUUUGAAUAAUAUUGUUGGAGUUCUUCCUCGACGUCAGAUUUCCAACUAUUUUGUUCAGUUCCGUAAGAUUGCAAAUCAUCCUUUAUUAGUGAGGCGAAUCUACUCUGAUGACGAUGUUGUUCGAUUUGCUAGAAAGUUACAUCCUAUGGGUGCAUUUGGAUUUGAAUGUACCUUGGACCGAGUGAUAGAGGAGCUUAAGAGCUACAAUGAUUUUUCUAUUCAUCAGCUUUUACACUCUUAUGGCGGUGCUGAUACCAAGGGAAUUCUUUCAGAAAAACAUGUUAUGCUUUCUGCAAAAUGUCGGGCAUUAGCUGAACUUCUUCCCUCUCUGAAGAAAGGUGGCCACCGGGUUUUGAUUUUUAGCCAGUGGACAUCAAUGCUUGAUAUCUUAGAGUGGACUUUGGAUGUGAUUGGAGUUACAUAUAGACGACUUGAUGGAAGUACUCAGGUGUCAGAGAGGCAGGCUAUAGUUGAUACUUUCAAUAGUGAUGCUUCCAUCUUUGCUUGCUUGCUUUCCACAAGAGCUGGUGGCCAAGGUUUAAACUUGACUGGUGCUGAUACUGUUGUCAUCCAUGACAUGGAUUUCAAUCCACAGAUUGAUCGACAGGCAGAAGAUCGUUGUCAUCGUAUUGGCCAAACAAAGCCUGUCACCAUAUACAGGCUGGUAACCAAGGGGACGGUUGAUGAGAAUGUUUACGAGAUAGCAAAACGGAAGCUAAUUUUGGAUGCUGCGGUUCUUGAGUCUGGUAUGGAGGUAGCUAAUGAAGGUGACACAUCUGAUAGGACUAUGGGAGAGAUACUAUCAUCUAUUCUAAUGGGUUAGAAGGGUGAUAGCUGCUGACAGAGUGUGCAACUAGAAAAUCAUUUUUCUUUGUCCUACUUUGUAUUUGAUUUGUAACUUCUAUUGCUGUAUUAGUUAGAGUUGUUUGAGAAAAGGAAAUCAUUCAUAGUUUUGAUAGUGCAUAUUAUACAGCUGUAAAUCAACCCCUUAGGUCCAUGUACCUGAUAAAACUCAAUAAGGUUUUAUUGGGUGUUUCUGGUGAGAACAUUUUGGGCACCUAUUGCUUUAAAAUUGAUAAGAAUCAACCUGAUCCUGGGCUCGCCAAACACCUUCUCCUACCU